GUCUUACCAGACAAAGUUAGA
rnacentral:miRNA from 1 species